rnacentral:rRNA from 1 species
CCUACGGGCGGCAGCAGUGGGGAAUAUUGGGCAAUGGGCGCAAGCCUGACCCAGCAACGCCGCGUGAAGGAAGAAGGCUUUCGGGUUGUAAACUUCUUUUCUCAGGGACGAAGCAAGUGACGGUACCUGAGGAAUAAGCCACGGCUAAAUACGUGCCAGCAGCCGCGGUAAUACGUAGGUGGCAAGCGUUAUCCGGAUUUACGGGGUGUAAGGGGCGUGUAGGCGGGACUGCAAGUCAGAGGUGAAAACCAUGGGAUAAACCUAUGUCCUGCAGUUGAAACUGUAGUUCUUGAGUACUGGAGAGGCAGACGGAAUUCCUAGUGUAGCGGUGAAAUGCGUAGAUAUUAGGAGGAACACCAGUGGCGAAGGCGGUCUGCUGGACAGCAACUGACGCUGAGGCGCGAAAGCGUGGGGAGCAAACAGGAUUAGAUACCCCUGUAGUC